rnacentral:misc_RNA from 1 species
UAGUAUUCUAUUGCCAGCGCUUAAUUGCGCGGCGAUAAACCUUACACACAUUGUCUAGUUUUUAUUAACUUUGCUUUGGGUGGAAAGCAAUUUCUGCCCAGAGGUAUUAAACACAUUUUUUUAAUGUUCAAACCUUUAACCUUUAGUCAUGAAAUUUUUAACAAAAUAAAAAUCUUCA